AGAGUUGAUCAUGGCUCAGGAUGAACGCUAGCUACAGGCUUAACACAUGCAAGUCGAGGGGAAACGAUAUUGAAAGCUUGCUUCUUAGGCGUCGACCGGCGAAUGGGUGAGUAACGCGUAUCCAACCUGCCCCUGAGUAAGGGAUAGCCCAUCGAAAGAUGGAUUAAUACCUUAUGGUUUCCUUUGAAGGCAUCAGAUUAGGAAUAAAGAUUUAUCGCUGAGGGAUGGGGAUGCGUCUGAUUAGCUUGUUGGCGGGUAACGGCCACCAAGGCAACGAUCAGUAGGGGUUCUGAGAGGAAGGUCCCCCACAUUGGUACUGAGACACGGACCAAACUCCUAUGGGAGGCAGCAGUGAGGAAUAUUGGUCAAUGGGCGGAAGCCUGAACCAGCCAAGUAGCGUGCCAGGAUGACUGCCCUAUGGGUUGUAAACUGCUUUUAUACGGGGAUAAAGUCAGAGUCGUGACUCUGUUUGCAGGUACCGUAUGAAUAAGGACCGGCUAAUUCCGUGCCAGCCGCGGC
rnacentral:rRNA from 1 species